rfam:TPA: Bos taurus chromosome 17, whole genome shotgun sequence.
UCCCUGAUAGUUUAGUUGGUAAAGAAUCUGCCUGCAAUGCAGGAGACCCUAGUUCAAUUCCUGGGUUGGGAA